GCGUUACUGGUGUAGCGGUCAGCAGACGCUCUCUGGAAGAGUGAGAUCUGGGUGCGAAUCCCGGUUGACGCA